UGGCUCAGAACGAACGCUGGCGGCAGGCCUAACACAUGCAAGUCGAGCGCACCUUCGGGUGAGCGGCGGACGGGUUAGUAACGCGUGGGAACGUGCCCUUCUCUAAGGAAUAGCCUCGGGAAACUGAGAGUAAUACCUUAUACGCCUUCGGGGGAAAGAUUUAUCGGAGAGGGAUCGGCCCGCGUUGGAUUAGGUAGUUGGUGGGGUAAUGGCCUACCAAGCCGACGAUCCAUAGCUGGUUUGAGAGGAUGAUCAGCAACACUGGGACUGAGACACGGCCCAGACUCCUACGGGAGGCAGCAGUGGGGAAUCUUAGACAAUGGGGGAAACCCUGAUCUAGCCAUGCCGCGUGAGUGACGAAGGCCCUAGGGUCGUAAAGCUCUUUCGCCAGGGAUGAUAAUGACAGUACCUGGUAAAGAAACCCCGGCUAACUCCGUGCCAGCAGCCGCGGUAAUACGGAGGGGGUUAGCGUUGUUCGGAAUUACUGGGCGUAAAGCGCGCGUAGGCGGACUAUUAAGUCAGAGGUGAAAUCCCGGGGCUCAACCCCGGAACUGCCUUUGAUACUGGUAGUCUUGAGUUCGAGAGAGGUGAGUGGAAUUCCGAGUGUAGAGGUGAAAUUCGUAGAUAUUCGGAGGAACACCAGUGGCGAAGGCGGCUCACUGGCUCGAUACUGACGCUGAGGUGCGAAAGUGUGGGGAGCAAACAGGAUUAGAUACCCUGGUAGUCCACACCGUAAACGAUGAAUGCCAGACGUCGGGAGGCUUGCCUCUCGGUGUCACACCUAACGGAUUAAGCAUUCCGCCUGGGGAGUACGGUCGCAAGAUUAAAACUCAAA
rnacentral:rRNA from 1 species